ensembl:snRNA U6 U6 spliceosomal RNA
GUGCUCAUUUCUGCAGCACAUAUACUAAAAUUGGAAUGAUACAGAAAAGAUUAGCAUGGUCCCUGCAUAAGGAUGGCAUGCAAAUUCAUGAGGUGUUCCAUAUUUUU